rnacentral:sRNA from 1 species
GCCAGAUGUGGUGGCGCACACCUGCAAUCCCAGCUGCUCAGGAGGCUGAGGCAGGAGGAUCACAAGUUCAAAGCCAGCCUCAGCAAUUUAGCAAGUCCCUAAGCAACUCAGUGAGAGCCUGUCUCUG